AGGGCUAUAGCUCAGUUCGGUAGAGCAACUCGUUUACAACCGAGAAGGUCUACGGUUCGAAUCCGUAUAGCCCUA
rnacentral:tRNA from 2 species